ACGAACGCUGGCGGCGUGCUUAACACAUGCAAGUCGAACGGAAAGGCCCUGCUUUUGUGGGGUGCUCGAGUGGCGAACGGGUGAGUAACACGUGAGUAACCUGCCCUUGACUUUGGGAUAACUUCAGGAAACUGGGGCUAAUACCGGAUAGGAGCUCCUGCUGCAUGGUGGGGGUUGGAAAGUUUCGGCGGUUGGGGAUGGACUCGCGGCUUAUCAGCUUGUUGGUGGGGUAGUGGCUUACCAAGGCUUUGACGGGUAGCCGGCCUGAGAGGGUGACCGGCCACAUUGGGACUGGGAUACGGCCCAGACUCCUACGGGCGGCAGCAGUGGAGAAUAUUGCACAAUGGGCGGAGGCCUGAUGCAGCAACGCCGCGUGCGGGAUGACGGCCUUCGGGUUGUAAACCGCUUUCGCCUGUGACGACGCGUGAGUGACGGUAAUGGGUAAAGAAGCACCGGCUAACUACGU
rnacentral:rRNA from 1 species